rnacentral:lncRNA from 1 species
AGAACAAUGCGGGAGUUGCAGAGAGAGGUGUCCUGUGUUUGUUCCCAGUCUUCCUUCACUCACCUGCACCUGCUCCUGCCCUGCUUCGGCCAACAUGUUCUAUGCAGGUCUACUCUGUGAAAAGGAAAUGAUCAUACAUAAUUCAUGCAUUUGCUGUACGGAUUUAAUUAAAUGAUAGACAAAAAGUAGAGUGGCACAAGUCAAACUCAAAAAAUAGUAACAACAAAAUCAAUUUCAAAAUAAGCAACAGCAAUAAAUGUUACCUACUAUUUUACGAAUGAAAAUACUGAGACCAAUAAAGGCAUUAUAGUAUACAUAGCCUUGGAAUCAGAAGACCAAGAACAUACAAGAGAACAUAGCCUUGGAAUCAGAAGACCAAGAAACAAUUUAACUCUGCCCCUCUAGAGCUCUGAGAACUUGGGCAAGCCUUUUACCCUCUUGAAUUUUUGCCACCUUCAAUGAGAAAGACUGAAACAAAAAACUCAGAAGAAAGAAAGAGACUGAGAUAGCAAAUAUGACAAACUGUUAAAAAUUCAUGAAUCUGUUAUGGAAUACUAUGCAGCCAUAAAAAAGGAUGAGUUCCUGUCCUUUGCAAGGACGUGUAUGAAGCUGGAAACCAUCAUUCUGAGCAAACUAAAACAGGAACAGAAAACCAAACACCACAUGUUCUCACUCAUAAGUGGGAGUUGAACAAUGAGAACACAUGGACACGGCGGGGUGGUGGGAACAUCACACACCGGGGCCUGUCAGAGGGGAGGGGGCUAGGGGAGAGAUAGCAUUAGGAGAAAUACCUAAUGUAGAUGAUGGGUUGAUGGGUGCAGCAAACCACCAUGGCAUGUGUAUACCUAUGUAACAAACCUGCAUGUUCUGCACAUGUAUCCCAGAACUUAAAGUAUAAUAAUAAAAAGAGAGAUUAAAAAAAUUGGUGAAUCUGGGCAAAAUGUACACAGGAUUUUUCUGUACUGUUCUUGCAACUUUUCUACAGAUUUGAAAUGUUACAAAAUAAAAGGUAUUUUUAGAAAAAGA